UCUUGGAAUCGAUCCUCGAAAUCGAACUUCCCGUUAAGCGAGAUAAAGUUUUCUUAAUACUUAAAUAUUCGAUAAGAACAAACAUGAGUAACGCGAGGAACACACUUCUUAGCAGUCUCUGACAGAUACUGCGGUGGAUUAUUUCGGGAUAAAUAUUCAUAAACACUUAUUUAUUCGUAGAGCAAUGUAACAUGCACGCGGUACUUAUAAGUCUGCCAUCCAUAAUGAGAAACAAUGAUAGACUGUUAAUGCGAUAGAAAAUGUUUCGCUGUCUACGCUACGCGAAAUACAACGCAAUGAAAUAUAAAUGGCUGGAACGCAAUCAGAGAAAAUAAUCGCUGUUAUUACAAACUAUUGCAAUAUACCGUAAAAUCGUUGAAACUUUUUAUCUUAUUUUGCAAGCUUUCUCUUCGAUAUUUUUCGCGAUACUAUCUCUUCUUCUAUCCCUGGGAAACUCCUUCUGUUGGCGGAAACAUAUAGACCGGACGCGGCGGAGUGCUCGGCAAAAAUCUACUAGUCACCACUUCGUAUCAAUAUGCAUUAAGUCAGACUCUGACUCGAGUGUCUCUAGUAACGAUUUAAUUCGUUCACACGGAAAUCUCAUGCGGGUCACAGCAGCCAUGACGCCUGGAAAUAUGGAUCUCACGUGUGUGUAUCACGAUUUCACGCGGAAUCCCAUAGAUCCGACAAAGAGCAUCGCGAAUCAACUAGCAAGGUCGCGCGUAGAGCGGAAAAUGGAUGAUCUUGUGUCGCGAAAUGAAACAAAAAUUUAAAAAAAUUCGUGUUUUACAUUUAGCGCUGAAUUAAUACUUGGCGUAAUUUUCUGAAUCUUAUAUAGAUGUAAGUUGGUGUAUCAUAAAUUGAGAAUGACACAUUUAAUGUUAUGUCGUUUCUCCUGUGAGAUAUUGAAUUAUUAUUGCGAACAAAAUUAAUGUGACAUAUUGUAACUGACAAAAUGUAUUAUAAGUAUCGUUAAUUACAUUAUAAUCUGACGAUUCUUAUCGACAUUAGAGAAAGAUAGAAAUUUUUACUUUUAAUAAUUGUGCGAAUGCUGCCUUAUGAAUUUUACAUAUACUUGAUUGAAACAUAUAUGCGAUCACUUAAUUAAACGCGUAUCUCCAAGAAUAAAAUCCUAUUGAACAAUAGGCAUAAUUAAUGAAACGAGAUCAGUAUGCUCGAAAUCGUGAGAACGACUUUGUAAGUAGCAGCAAGUGGCGAUGCCUUGUAAUGUUUCGGAGCACCGUGCAGUAUUUCGGCCGAUGAGCAGGCUCGCGGCACAUAGCAUGUACAUCCCAAUUUAACGCAAUCGAUCAAUUAUAUAUGUAUACACGUACAUACAUAUAGAUAUACUGUAUAUAUCCGCGCAGAUCUUUGGAAUCCAUAGAUCUAAUCGGGCAUUUCGCAUAUAUCCGUAGCCCCACAUAUUUUUCAUAGGCUCUCGGAUUCUCAAAAUCCGUGUUUCGAUAAAUCACAGAAUCCACAAAUUCGUGUUUUCUUAAAUUAUUAUUUUUCGAGAUUCUUCAAUCCGUAAAUCGUAUAUCUAUAGAUCUCCAGAUUUGUAAAUUUUUCAAUUUACGAAUCCACAUUUCCACAGAUCUUUCAAUACAAUAUAUGAUCGCACGAAUAUUUGGAAUCUGUAAAUUCACAUGAUAUCGUAUUCUUAGAAUCCUUAAUUAAAAUUCCUUUCACAGAUCUUUGGACGCACAGAGAUCCGCGGUUUGUUAGACUCCUACAUUUUCAUCAUAUAGAAUUAGGAGGGAAUAUUUUCCCGCUUCGUCUUCGACGACGAGUAUACUUUUUUUAUAUUAUAUAUAUAUUUACAUAACGCGUAGACGUUUAUGCUAGCUUUAGCGAGACGUUCACAAAUUGUACAUAGAAAGACACGAUUAUUAAGCGAGUACUAAUUACGAUUUCUAAUAACGUGCCACGAUUUUUGAUAGCUCAUCAUUUAUUGAACUCUUUUUUUUUUUAUUCCAUUUCUUCGUCCAAUUCUCCCUUUCUCUUGUGUUCUUAUCUAUUUCCCUGUUACUUUUAUCAAAUUGUUACGAAAAUUUUGUGAAGGAAUUUUUAUAUAGAGCUAUUUUCGCGGCGACUUUUUAACAUAGUGAAACUGUACAUAGCUGAAAAAAUAUACUGUAAUAACUAAUCACCGACGAGUUUCGGCGAGCGGAAUCAAACCAACUCUGUAUACCGGGUAGUCCAAAGUGUUAGCCAAUUUUUGUCGAUUCUAGCAUAGAACUAUAACGUAGAACACACGCGAGUACGAACAUGAUACAAUAAAUCAAUUAUAUAUUCAUAGA